rnacentral:misc_RNA from 1 species
GUGAAUCAUCAAAUUUUUGAACGCAAAUUGCACUCGCUGGUAUUCUGGGGAGUAUGCCUGUUUGAGGGUCGUUAGAAUAAAAAAUCGAGGCGUCGUUCUUUUUCUUAAGGGUGAUCGCGUUGGAAUUGUGCAGUGUUUCUAAUGUUAAGUCAUGAUAAAGUGGCUUAAAUUUAAUUCAUUAGGUAUGAUUAAAGCGUAUUUAAGAUCAAUUUUGAUAAAGAACGCGUGAUUGUGUACUAUGUUAUGUAGUACGUGUGAACUGGG